ACCUGGGAUAGCUCAGUUGGAAGAGCAUGGAUCUCAUCUCAAGGUCAUGGGUUCGAACCCCACAUUGGGCA